UUGAGGAAACUUUGCACCAGCCGCUCCCUUUCUUUCGGCAUCAAUCAAAAUAGGGAUUUUUCUUUGACUUGCCUGCACUGGAUUGUUCCAUAAAUACAUAUUAGUCUCAAUAGCAGUGCAGAAAGGAGAAAACUAUACAUUAAAAGGCUGGUAUUAAUGCAACAGAAGUUAUAGAUUGAUAACAUGAACAAUAUAAAAAUAACUUUCCUAUUCAGAGCCAUAUCUCUGAUUUUAUAAGCUAUUUGCAAUCACUGCAGAAAGAACGGAACUAUAUUUUGUUAUUUCUCACCAUCAUCCUGUACUGAUUUGUUAUUUCUUCAUGCAAGCUCAUGUUCUCAAUAGAUAAAAUACACUUAUAUUUACAGGUCCUUACCAAUAGUUACGGCAAAAGCAAUUCAAUUAAAAACAGAAGGCCGAGUAAAAUAAUCAGAAAUUCAUUAUCUAAAAGCUAAAUUAGUGGCACGAGCUAAGAUAAUGUAACUUUCAUUUUGACUUUUAGAUCAGCACAUGGAUAAAUGAUAUAAAUAUUUCCAACUUCACAAAGGUAGAAAGCUAAAAACACACAAAAUACACCGAAGAGUAUGAUACUGAUUAUUGUACUACAAAUCGUAAAUCGACACUAUCCAUUCAUCCUGGAUAGUCAGGCCGCCACACCAAGAGUGUGUACAAUUCACCAAGAAGCCAUCAUCUGUACUUUCUAGACAGUGGACUCCCCAAGGCAUGCAUUAGUUAUGGUUGAGUUAGAUUCUGCAUAUUUCUGCAUGCUUCUUUGUUCAAUAUCUAUUUUAUUGCACCAAUAUUAACAGUGAUAUACAACAAUUUUAUUUUUCAAGCAUUUCCAGGAGUUCCUACUGUCUCGUACACAAUGAGCAUUUAGAAGGGUAUAAAAACAGGAGUAAAAAACUAACAGGUUUCAGAUUUGCUGACCAGUGAGUAAAGUAGCGUUGAACCCCAUUUAGAUGGCUUCAGCUUCAGGAUGGACUUUGGAGCCAGGAUAAGAGUCAGGAAAAAGCUUCUCUGUAAGACAACAGCCUAACAGGCUUGGAUUGCUUAAUGAGAAGAUUACAUUUAUAGGAGAGAGGAGGACGGCCCAAGGGGCCAGCCGAGUCUGAACAUGACUCAAAGGGCCAGCCGUGUGUGAACCUGGCCCAGCCAGCUAGGCUAAUCAAAGCUAGAUUACACAAGUAACUAGGAGAUAAUACUAAGCAGUAACUAAUUCUAACACCCCCGCAGUCAGAGCGUCGGUGGAAUGGACGUUCAGACUGGAGCGAAAAUCCAUGAAGACGGAGGAGGGAAGGCCCUUGGUGAAGACAUCGGCGAACUGCGACGUAGUGGGUACGUGAAGAACAUGGACAGCACCCAUGGCAACCUGUUCGCGGACGAAAUGAAGGUCAAUUUCCACGUGCUUAGUGCGCUGAUGUUGUACGGGGUUGGAGGAGAGGUAGAUGACGCUAACAUUGUCGCAGUAGACAAGACAAGCGGAGUCCAGGGGAUGGUGAAUCUCCUUGAGCAACUGUCGCAGCCAAGUGACUUCAGCAACGCCGUUGGCAACAGCCCUAUAUUCUGCCUUGGCGCUGGACCGGGAGACAGUGGGCUGUCGCUUAGAGGAACAGGAGAUCAGGCUGUCCCCGAGGAAGACGGCGUAGCCAGAGGUGGACCGGCGGGUAUCCGGGCAGCCUGCCCAAUCAACAUCAGUGUAUACACGAAGUUGAGUUGGAGCUGUGCGGGGGAUGACCAGACCAUGAAUGAGGGUACCCUGGAGAUAGCGGAGGAUCCUUUUGGCAGCAACAAGGUGAGCUUCACACGGAGCAUGCAUAUGAAGACAAACUUGCUAAACGGCGUAAGCAAUGUCCAGCCUGGUGAAAGUGAGAUAGUGGAGGGCACCCACAAGGCUGCGGUAGCUGGUGGGAUCAGCAACAGGUGGUCCAGCAUCAGCAGAAACCUUUGCACAGGUGUCAACCGGGGUGGAGCAAGGUUUGCAAUCACUCAUGCCAUGGCGGGCAAGGAUGUCCAGUGUGUAUUGGCGCUGCGAGAGGAGGACUGAAUCCUUGUGACGCUGAACUGAAAUGCCAAGAAAGUGAUGUAGAGGUCCAAGAUCCUUCAUGGCGAACUCCUUUUUCAAUGCAGCAAUGACACGGUGAAGGAGCUGCUGUUAGGAAGCUAUGAGGACGAUAUCAUCCACAUAUAAGAGUAAGUAGGCAGUCUCUGUGCCGCGGCUGUAGAUGAACAGAGAAGUGUCUGACUUGGUUUCAGUGAAACCCAGAGAGAUAAAAAAUGAGGCAAACCGCCUGUACUAGGCCCGCGGAGCUUGCUUUAAGCCGUAGAGGGAUUUGUUGAGUCGGCAGACAUGCUCUGGGAGGGCAGAAUCAGCAAAUCUGGUAGGCUGAGAGCAGUAGACGGUCUCCGAAAGUGUGCCAUGGAGGAAGGCGUUCUUCACGUCAAGUUGAUGAAUGGGCCAAUCCUUGGAGUGUGCGAGGGUUAUGACUGUGCGAACAGUGGCCAGUUUGACGACCGGGCUGAAAGUUUCGUCAUAAUCCAUGCCGGGUCAUUGAGUGAACCCUCGAAGCACCCAACGAGCCUUGUAGCGCUCCAAAGAACCAUCAGCAUUGAACUUGUAUUUGAAUAUCCAUUUGCCAGUGACCACAUUGGCUUUGGCAGGGCGGGGAACAAGAUCCCAAGUAUGAUUGCCCUGGAGAGCAGCAUAUUCAUCUUCCAUGGCCUAGCGCCAAUGAGGAUCAGCGAGAGCAUCCCGGCAGGACCACGGGAGAGGAGACAGGGCCUCGGCAUGCAGGGCAGGGCGAGGCUGCCGGUACCCUGUUUUUCCAUGGGUCGCCAUACUAUGGGAGUUGGCAUCCGGUGGGAUGGGUACUGCACCAGCAGGGACCGGAGGGUCGCUCUUGAUGUAGCGUGGCGGAGACGGGAUCAUGCUGAAGCGUCGAGGAGGAGCCCCUGUCGGGUGCUCGGGGGCUGAGGCAGGGACAGGGGCACGCCUGCUGUAGACGUGAGUGCUGGGCGGCCUCUGGGGCGCGACCACCGGGGGCACAACCGGGGCGGGGGGUCUGAACAGGAGUCCCACUGGACACCGCCGGCUGUGCUGGAGAGGUGGGUGCCUCAUCAAAGGACCCUGAAAACUGGGUCGUCUAAACAGAGGACACAACGACGGCGUGCGCGGUGGUGAGGAGAAAUUGGGGGGGGGGGUCCCGGUCACCAGUGAGUCGGCGUGUGCCAGCAACAGCACCAUAGGUACAGGCUGGGAGGGAGCACGCGUUGGAGGUGGUGGUCGGGGGCCAACAGCUCCAGAUGUACCUGUAGGAAAAGGAGACGCUGGGAAAGCGUCGUCGUCAGUUAGAAAAUCAAGGUCCUGCGGAGAUGGGGAACGCUGGCUGAGGGAAAAAGGAAACAUUGUUUCGUCAAAUACAACGUGGCAGGAGAUGAUGACCCGGUUAUUGGUGAGACCAAGGCACCGGUAGCCCUUGUGAUCUGGUGGGUAGCCAAGAAAGACACAAAGAGUGGAGCGAGGGGAAAGCUUGUGUGGAGCUGUGGUGGAGAGGUUAGGAUAGCAAGUGCAUCCAAACGCUCGAAGAUCAUGAUAGGAGAGAAGGGUGCUAUGGAGGGCAAAGAAGGGGUGCUCAUGUUUAGAGUUUUGGUGGGGAGGCGAUUGAGAAUAUAGGUGGCAGUGGCGACGGCAUCAGCCUAGUAAACAGUAGGCAUGGAUGCCUAGAAGAGGAGGGUGCGGGUGACGUUGUUGACGGUGCGGAUCAUGCGCUCAACUUUCCUGUUUUGUUGGGAAGUAUAGGGACACGACAUGCAAAGAGUGGUGCCAUGAGCCAGGAAGAAAGCCUGUGAGGCAGAGUUGUCAAAUUAGCGACCGUUGUCACAUUGUACUGAUUUAACAGUACAAGCGAACUGGGUAGACACAUGAGCAAAGAAAUGUGAAAUAGUGGGAAAAGCAUCAGACUUAACUCGUAGGGGAAAAGUCCAAAGAAAAUGUGAGCAAUCAUCAAGAAUAACAAGAUAAUAUUUGAAACCAGAGACACUGACAAUAGGAGAGGUCCAUAGGUCACAAUGAAUUAAAUCAAAAUUCUUGGAUGCUCUAGACAUGGAGGUAGCAAAAGGAAGGCGAGUGUGACGCCCAAGCUAGCAAGCAUGGUAGAGGGAGUCGUCUUCAGGCUUGCUGCAGACAAUGGAGGAGGUCUGAGCGAGGUUCUGAAGGGUUGCCUUGCCGGGGUGACCAAGACGCCUGUGCCAGGUAGCCGGGGAAGGAGUGGCGACGAGAGCAGCUGAUCCAGUGGUGGAUGAAGGUAGUUGUAGGGUGUAGAGGGGCCCUGUGUUGUUACAUCUUAGGAGGGUGUUCCAGGUACGGAGAUCCUUCACAGGGACACCAAGAGGGUCAAACUCAAUUGUGACAAGAUUGCCAGUCGUAAAUUUUCGAACAGAAAGAAGAUUUCGAAUGGUGUCAGGAGCAACAAGGACAUUAUCGAGGCGAAAAGGUCCAGGAAGGACAGAAUAGCCGGUACCAACAACAGGAAGAGUGGCACCGUUGCCUACGAUAAUGGAAGAGGGAAAAGAAGAGGAGGGUGAGCGGUGACCACACCGGGGUUGGCAGUGAUGUGGGAGGAAGCACCCGAGUCGAUCACCCAGUCAGAGGAUCCUAGCGGCGGGGUGAGGGAGACGGUGCUGAAGGCACUAGCGAGACCCUCAGGGGACCAAGGCGCCCAAGCAGGAGGCGCCUGUGGGUAGUAGGUCCUGGAGCCUGGUGGAGGAGCAUAGUAGGCAGGGGGCGCCCCGGCCAUCAGAGCCUACUGUGGAGGCUAGACGGCACGUGGCGGGGGGCCAUAAAACCCAUCGGCGGUGGCCCCUGGCCACAUGUGGAUGGAGCCAGUCCAUGGGUUGAGGAGCGACGACCACUGUGGUGUAGGAGGAGUGGCAGCAGUUUGCGCGCCACCAUGAGAUCCACCAGAGCCGCGCUUGCCACGGCGUUUGCCACGGUUGUUGUUGAAGGCCUGUCCAGCAACAGCCUAAGGACAGGUGGGGCAGGUGCAGGUGACGACGCCCUGGUGGGAGCAGCGACUGCGACGAGGGCUGAAGGAGGGGUGGAAACAUCCCCAUGUUGAGUUCAGCCAACCGAAGAUCAGCACGGACGUCGGCGAAGGACGGGAACGGCCGUUGGCGGGUGAUGAGUUGGGACAUGACUGGAACCGCUUGUUGAGGCCACGCAGGACGUUGAGCACGGAAGUGCGGUCCUAGACUAGCUCGCCAAGGUCGGCCAGGGCAUCAGCCAUGCUUUUCAUCUUGCGGCAGUAGUCGUCGACGGAGAGGGCACCUUGACAAAGAGUGCAAAACUCGGAGUCGAGGAGCAUGGCGCAAGACUCACGGUUGUUGAGGAACUGCUGCUCAAGCCCGAGCCAGGCCGCCCGGGCAGUGGGAGCGUCGUGCUCAUGGAUGACGUCCACGAGGUCGGCAAAGAUGGUGUUGAAGAUCCAGGACAGAACAACACAGUCCAUCCUUGACCAUGCCACAUCGUAGGGCUAGGAGGCGUUGGUUAGGACGUGAUCCUUCAACGCGAAGCGGCCGAGGAUGAGGAGAAUGUAGCCACGCCACUUGGAGUAGUUGGAGGCUUGAAGAUCAAGAACGAUUGGGAUUAAAUUCUUGAUGUUCUGGACUGCAUCCGCCUGGCUGUGAAGGCGGGCGACGGCGUCGGCUUCAGAGGAGACAGAGUAGGUGUCCUCGUCGUCGGCGUCGUCCUCUGGUGGCUCGGGGCGGAGGCGAGCGCGGAGGGCCGUGGCCUGCUAUUCUAGGGUGUCAGCCGCCGCGCGCUCCUGGUCAAGGGCGUCGGUUGCGGCGCGGACGUGCUCCUGGGUGUCGGCGGCAGACUUGAGGAGAGCAGCAUCCUCCGUAAGCUACUGGCUGCGCUCGGAGUUGAUGGAGCGCAGAGAAGAGGCCUCAUCCUCCAGGCGCUUGGCCGCUUGGAGGGCCUCAUCGCAGAGCUUGGCUGCGGCAGCCGCGACGGAGGAGGUGGAGGCGGCCAUGUCUGCGCGCACGUAGUAGCAGCAGGGCACCCAGGCACGGUGGGGAAGAGACGCGGGGACGGGAAGCACGCGCACGGAAAAGAUAGCGGCAGCGGCUGCAGGCGCGUGCGCGGGAAGUCGCGCGGCGGCAGCUGUGGUGCGAGCGGUCUCGCGGCGGAGGGAAGACGCGCGCGCAAGACGCGUUGCAGCGGAGAAGCCCUCGCGCGAGACGCUGCGGCAGCUGGAGGCCUGCGCGCGUGAUGCGAUGCGGCGACUGGAGGUCCGCGCGCGCAGAGGGAGAAGAAGCGGAAGCGGAUUGGAUCGAUUUUAGUCUGAUACCAUGUAAGACAACAGCCUAACAGGCUUGGAUUGCUUAAUGAGAAGAUUACAUUGGGGAUUACAUUUAUAGGAGAGAGGAGGAUGGCCCAAGGGGCCAGCCGAGUCUGAACAUGACUCAAAGGGCCAGCCGUGUGUGAACCUGGCCCAGCCAGCUAGGCUAAUCAAAGCUAGAUUACACAAGUAACUAGGAGAUAAUACUAAGCAGUAACUAAUUCUAACAUUCUCGAAUGAAAUUCUAGACAAGUGCAUCAAGAAAAAUACAUACAAUAUGGAUAUUUUGUGAAUGGUUCAAGGACCCGUUCCAUGCAUUAGCAGCUUGUGACUCUGGAUCUAUGUGACGCUUUUCAGUAGUUGCAUCUAACUGUGAACAGGGAUUGGUGAUACAGAAACUGUUAUCUAAGAAAAAAAGAAUUGUUAACUGGUAAAACCUUCCAGAAGAUCACCAAAUACCUGCACACAAUGAACAUAAACAGAUCUCUCCAAUUCCAGAAGAUCACCAACAUGCAAAGCUCUAUCAGUUCAUGGACAGAUCAGUUUCUUCCUCAACGUUGGUGCGAGGAACAAACCUGCCAUGCGGGGCAAUGCAAUCAUCAGCAACCACUAUCCAAACCCUAAUUGAGGAACCAAAUUAAUUGGGGAAAUCUGAGGGAAUCAAAAAUAGGGGGAGAGAGAGAGAGCAGGGAUACCACAAGCAGAUCUGGCAUCGCAAACUUUAGAUCCACGUCACGGGCUCCUCUAGCUCCCGCUUCACGAGAGCAUCAGCUCAAUCUGGGUGGCAUCGGUUGUGGAUGGGGCGGAGCUUGAGAUGCAGUCGAUGGAGGCAUGUCCGCUAGUGCUUGGGGUGGUGAUGGGGCUCAUCCGUUUGGAGAGGGCGACAAUGGCGUGGGUGCGAUGGGGAGGGAGAGGACGCGACGGCAUUCAGGCUUGGCUUCUCCUGAUGGUGGCGCUCUAGGAUCAUGGUCGCAGGGGCUCAUCCAUUCCGUGAGGGCAAUGACGGAGUGAGUGUGACGGCGAGGGAGAAGAGAUGCCGGCGUGGGUGACCGCGGUGAGAGGCGCACGGUAGCGCACGGUGAGGGGCACGGCCGCAUGGGGGCGAGGGAUCUCACGAGGGGGAGAGAGCGAUUGGAGGCGUGACUUCCGCGAGCGAUGAGGUGAAAUUUCACUUCGCACGCUUAGGCGAAAUUUCUCUUU
rnacentral:lncRNA from 1 species